GAUAGAGUGACAGAAGGGCGUUCGGUGGAUGCCUUGGCGCCAAGAGGCGAUGAAGGACGUGGCACGCUGCGAAAAGCCGCGGGGAGAUGCGAGCGAUCGUUGAUCCGCGGAUGUCCGAAUGGGGAAACCCCUCCCGUAUGGGAGAUCCUGCACUGAAUUCAUAGGUGCUGGAGGCAAACCCGGGGAACUGAAACAUCUCAGUACCCGGAGGAAAAGACAUCAACAGAGAUUCCGCGAGUAGUGGCGAGCGAAAGCGGAGCAGGCCAGUGAUUGUGCAAGAAGAAGCCGAACGGUCUCGAAAGGCCGGCCAGAGCGGGUGAUAGCCCCGUAGGCGUAGUGUCUUGCAGGAUCCUCGAGUAGGGCGGGGCACGUGAAACCCUGUCUGAACGUGGGGGGACCACCCUCCAAGCCUAAAUACUCCUUGGCGACCGAUAGUGCACAAGUACCGUGAGGGAAAGGUGAAAAGCACCCCGACGAGGGGAGUGAAAGAGACCUGAAACCGAGCGCCUACAAGCAGUCGGAGCACCCCAAUGUUCAAUCAUGGGAGGUGUGACGGCGUACCUUUUGUAUAAUGGGUCCGCGAGUUUCUGUUGGCAGCAAGCUUAAGCCGAGAGGUGUAGGCGCAGCGAAAGCGAGUCUGAUAAGGGCGCUUGAGUUGCCGGCAGAAGACCCGAAACCGAGUGAUCUAGCCAUGGCCAGGCUGAAGGUGGGGUAACACCCACUGGAGGGCCGAACCCACGCCUGUUGAAAAAGUCGGGGAUGAGCUGUGGCUAGGGGUGAAAGGCCAAUCAAACUCGGAAAUAGCUGGUUCUCCGCGAAAUCUAUUGAGGUAGAUCGUCGUCCGAUUACCUUCGGAGGUAGAGCACCGGAAGGGCUAGGGGGGCCCAAAGCCCUACCAAACCCUACCGAACUCCGAAUGCCGAAGAGUACAGGACGGCAGACAGACAGUGGGUGCUAAGGUCCAUUGUCGAGAGGGAAACAGCCCAGACCACCAGCUAAGGCCCCCAAAUCGUGGCUAAGUGGGAAAGCAUGUGAGACGGCCAAAACAACCAGGAGGUUGGCUUAGAAGCAGCCAUCCUUUAAAGAAAGCGUAAUAGCUCACUGGUCUAAUAGCUGUCUUGCGGCGAAAAUGUAACGGGGCUCAAGCCACGUGCCGAAGCUGUGGAUGCAUGCGCAAGCAUGCGUGGUAGCGGAGCGUUCCGUAGGCCUGCGAAGGCAGACCCGUGAGGGCUGCUGGAGGUAUCGGAAGUGCGAAUGCGGACAUGAGUAGCGAUAAACAGGGUGAGAACCCCUGUCGCCGAAAGUCCAAGGGUUCCUGCGCAAGGUCAAUCCGCGCAGGGUGAGCCGGCCCCUAAGGCGAGGGCGAAAGCCGUAGUCGAUGGGAACCAGGUGAAUAUUCCUGGGCCUGACAGACGUGACGGCUGCAAAGCGUUGUUGCCCCUUAUCGGAUUGGGGCGGCAGCCAGAGCAGCCCAGGAAACAGCGCUGUCGAUAAAGACCGUACCCGAAACCGACACAGGUGGACUGGUUGAGAAUACCGAGGCGCUUGAGAGAACUAUGCUGAAGGAACUAGGCAAAUUACUCGCGUAACUUCGGGAUAAGCGAGACCCCUUCUUGCGCAAGCAAGGUGGGGUGGCACAGACCAGGGGGUAGCGACUGUUUAGUAAAAACACAGGGCUCUGCGAAAUCGAGAGAUGACGUAUAGGGUCUGACACCUGCCCGGUGCCGGAAGGUCAAGGGGAGAUGUGCAAGCAUCGAACCGAAGCCCCGGUAAACGGCGGCCGUAACUAUAACGGUCCUAAGGUAGCGAAAUUCCUUGUCGGGUAAGUUCCGACCUGCACGAAUGGUGUAACGACUUCCCCACUGUCUCCAGCAUAGACUCAGCGAAAUUGAAUUCCCCGUGAAGAUGCGGGGUACCCGUGGUCAGACGGAAAGACCCUAUGAACCUUUACUGCAGCUUCGCAGUGGUGCCAGGAAGGAACUGUGUAGGAUAGGUGGGAGCCAUCGAAACCCGGGCGCUAGCUCAGGUGGAGGCAACCUUGAAAUACCACCCUGUUUCUUUCUGGCAUCUCACUGAGCCCGGUCAGCCCGGGCCAGGACCCUGCGUGGUGGGCAGUUUGACUGGGGCGGUCGCCUCCCAAAGUGUAACGGAGGCGCGCGAUGGUGGGCUCAGGCCGGUCGGACAUCGGCUGUUGAGUGCAAAGGCAUAAGCCCGCCUGACUGCGAGCGCGACAGCGCGAGCAGAGACGAAAGUCGGCCUUAGUGAUCCGGUGGUCCCGCGUGGAAGGGCCAUCGCUCAACGGAUAAAAGGUACUCUAGGGAUAACAGGCUGAUCUCCCCCAAGAGUCCACAUCGACGGGGAGGUUUGGCACCUCGAUGUCGGCUCAUCGCAUCCCGGGGCUGGAGCAGGUCCCAAGGGUUCGGCUGUUCGCCGAUUAAAGCGGUACGUGAGCUGGGUUUAGAACGUCGUGAGACAGUUCGGUCCCUAUCUGCCAUGGGUGUUGGAGACUUGCGAGGAUCUGUCCCUAGUACGAGAGGACCGGGAUGGACGUACCUCUGGUGCACCGGUUGUUCCGCCAGGAGCAUCGCCGGGUAGCUAAGUACGGAACGGAUAACCGCUGAAGGCAUCUAAGCGGGAAACCAGCCUCAAAACCAGGUCUCCCCAAGGGCCGUGGAAGACCACCACGUCGAUAGGCCGCAGGUGGAAGUGCAGCAAUGCAUGCAGCCGAGCGGUCCUAAUCGCCCGAUCGAACUCCAUCAC
rfam:Roseomonas mucosa strain SAVE376 contig00141, whole genome shotgun sequence.